GGACGAACGCUGGCGGCGUGCCUAAUACAUGCAAGUCGAACGAACUCUGGUAUUGAUUGGUGCUUGCAUCAUGUUUUACAUUUGAGUGAGUGGCGAACUGGUGAGUAACACGUGGGAAACCUGCCCAGAAGAGGGGGAUAACACCUGGAAACAGAUGCUAAUACCGCAUAACAACUUGGACCGCAUGGUCCGAGUUUGAAAGAUGGCUUCGGCUAUCACUUUUGGAUGGUCCCGCGGCGUAUUAGCUAGAUGGUGAGGUAACGGCUCACCAUGGCAAUGAUACGUAGCCGACCUGAGAGGGUAAUCGGCCACAUUGGGACUGAGACACGGCCCAAACUCCUACGGGAGGCAGCAGUAGGGAAUCUUCCACAAUGGACGAAAGUCUGAUGGAGCAACGCCGCGUGAGUGAAGAAGGGUUUCGGCUCGUAAAACUCUGUUGUUAAAGAAGAACAUAUCUGAGAGUAACUGUUCAGGUAUUGACGGUAUUUAACCAGAAAGCCACGGCUAACUACGUGCCAGCAGCCGCGGUAAUACGUAGGUGGCAAGCGUUGUCCGGAUUUAUUGGGCGUAAAGCGAGCGCAGGCGGUUUUUUAAGUCUGAUGUGAAAGCCUUCGGCUCAACCGAAGAAGUGCAUCGGAAACUGGGAAACUUGAGUGCAGAAGAGGACAGUGGAACUCCAUGUGUAGCGGUGAAAUGCGUAGAUAUAUGGAAGAACACCAGUGGCGAAGGCGGCUGUCUGGUCUGUAACUGACGCUGAGGCUCGAAAGUAUGGGUAGCAAACAGGAUUAGAUACCCUGGUAGUCCAUACCGUAAACGAUGAAUGCUAAGUGUUGGAGGGUUUCCGCCCUUCAGUGCUGCAGCUAACGCAUUAAGCAUUCCGCCUGGGGAGUACGGCCGCAAGGCUGAAACUCAAAGGAAUUGACGGGGGCCCGCACAAGCGGUGGAGCAUGUGGUUUAAUUCGAAGCUACGCGAAGAACCUUACCAGGUCUUGACAUACUAUGCAAAUCUAAGAGAUUAGACGUUCCCUUCGGGGACAUGGAUACAGGUGGUGCAUGGUUGUCGUCAGCUCGUGUCGUGAGAUGUUGGGUUAAGUCCCGCAACGAGCGCAACCCUUAUUAUCAGUUGCCAGCAUUAAGUUGGGCACUCUGGUGAGACUGCCGGUGACAAACCGGAGGAAGGUGGGGAUGACGUCAAAUCAUCAUGCCCCUUAUGACCUGGGCUACACACGUGCUACAAUGGAUGGUACAACGAGUUGCGAACUCGCGAGAGUAAGCUAAUCUCUUAAAGCCAUUCUCAGUUCGGAUUGUAGGCUGCAACUCGCCUACAUGAAGUCGGAAUCGCUAGUAAUCGCGGAUCAGCAUGCCGUGGUGAAUACGUUCCCGGGCCUUGUACACACCGCCCGUCACACCAUGAGAGUUUGUAACACCCAAAGUCGGUGGGGUAACCUUUUAGGAACCAGCCGCCUAAGGUGGGACAGAUGAUUAGGGUGAAGUCGUAACAAGGUAGCCGUAG
rnacentral:rRNA from 1 species